CACUCCACCAUGCCCAGGUAAUUUUGUAUUUUUAGCAGAGACGGGAUUUCACCUGUUGGCUAGGCUGGUCUCAGACUCCUGGCCUCAAGUGAUCCACCCGUCUCUGCCUCCUAAAGUGCUGGGAUUACAGGUGUGAGCUACCGUGCCCAGCCAACCCCUUUUCUUUAUAAAUUACUCAGUCUCAGGCAUUCCUUUACAGCAACACAAUGGAUUAACAUAGUCUCUAAAAUAUUCCCUAAGUACAUGUGCACAUGUAGGAAUUUGGAUGGAUCCUUUAAUUUUUGUAAUGAACUACAUAUAAAUUUAAAAGUUACUAUACCUUUUGUUUUCAAUUAUUUCAUUACUUUUUUAGAUCAUUGCCAUACCAUGUUCAUUGGGCUCAACAAGACUGUCAUCUCUGUAGUUUAAUUCCUAAAUGUGAAUCAGUAAAGUCAAGAGGAGCUCUAAUUUCUGCCUUUUCAAGAGAUGGCCUUACCCUGGCAGUAACUCUUAAUCAGAAAGACCCCAAGGCAACUCAGGUAUUAUUUAUAAACACACUGAAUUUUGUUACUCUCUGUGGUAGCCUUAAAGGAUGUAGUAACAAGAGUCCCGUGGUUCCAGCUACACUUAUUAGGUAAGAACUCUUUUGUCUGUCUUUUUUUUCUUUUUUUCUUUUAAAAGAGAUGGGUCUCUGUCAGGUGUGGUAGCUCACACCUGUAAUUCUAGCACUUUGGGAAACCAAGGUGAGAGGAUCACUUGAGCUCAGGAGUUUGAGACCAGCUUGGGCAACAUAAUGAGACCUCAUCUUUACUAAAAAAUAAAAAGAAAUUAGCCGAGCAUGGUGGUGGACACCUGUAGUCCCAGCUACUUGAGAGGCUGAGCUAGGGGGUAUCACCUGAACGUGGGUGAUAGAGGCUGCAGUGAGCUAUGAUCUUGCCACUGCACUCCAGUCUGAGCAACAGAGCAAGACC
rnacentral:lncRNA from 1 species